GACGAGCCUCACAAACGUUAUUCGGAAUUACUGGGCUUAAAGGGUGCGUAGGCGGCGCGGAAAGUUGGGUGUGAAAUCCCUCUGCUCAACCGAGGAACUGCGCCCAAAACUACCGUGCUCGAGGAAGAUAGAGGUGAGCGGAACUUACGGUGGAGCGGUGAAAUGCGUUGAUAUCGGGAGGAACACCAGUGGCGAAGGCGACUACCUGGCCCAUUCUUGACGCUGAGGCGCGAAAGCUAGGGGAGCGAACGGG
rnacentral:rRNA from 1 species